rnacentral:rRNA from 1 species
UGAACGCUGGCGGCGUGCCUAAUACAUGCAAGUCGCGCGAACAGACGAGGAGCUUGCUCCUCUGACGUUAGCGGCGGACGGGUGAGUAACACGUGGAUAACCUACCUAUAAGACUGGGAUAACUUCGGGAAACCGGAGCUAAUACCGGAUAAUAUAUUGAACCGCAUGGUUCAAUAGUGAAAGACGGUUUUGCUGUCACUUAUAGAUGGAUCCGCGCCGCAUUAGCUAGUUGGUAAGGUAACGGCUUACCAAGGCGACGAUGCGUAGCCGACCUGAGAGGGUGAUCGGCCACACUGGAACUGAGACACGGUCCAGACUCCUACGGGAGGCAGCAGUAGGGAAUCUUCCGCAAUGGGCGAAAGCCUGACGGAGCAACGCCGCGUGAGUGAUGAAGGUCUUCGGAUCGUAAAACUCUGUUAUUAGGGAAGAACAAAUGUGUAAGUAACUAUGCACGUCUUGACGGUACCUAAUCAGAAAGCCACGGCUAACUACGUG